GCAUCGGUGGCUUAGUGGUAGAAUGCUCGCCUGCCACGCGGGCGGCCCGGGUUCGAUUCCCGACCGAUGCA
rnacentral:tRNA from 1 species